rnacentral:rRNA from 1 species
GGUGAACGCUGGCGGCGUGCCUAAUACAUGCAAGUCGAGCGAACACACGAGAAGCUCUCUCCCCUGACGUUAGCGGCUGACGGGCGAGUAACACGUAGAUAACCUACUUAUAAGACUGGGAUAACUUCGGGAAACCGCUGCUACUACUGGCUCAUAUAUCCAACCGCAUGGUUCAAUAGUUAUUGGCGGUUUUGCUGUCACUUAGAGCUGGUUCCGCGUCGCAUUAGCUAGUUGGUAAGGUAACGGCUUACCAAGGCAACGAUGCGUAGCUGACCUGAGAGGAUGAUCGGCCACACUGGAACUGAGACACGGUCCAGACUCCUACGGGAGGCAGCAGUGGGGAAUAUUCGACAAUGGGCGAAAGCCUGACCGAGCAAUGCCGCGUGAGUGAUGAAGGUCUUCGGAUCGUAAAACUCUGUUAUUAGGGAAGAAAAAAUGUGUAAGUAACUAUGGACGUCUUGACGGUACCUAAACAGAAAGCCACGGCUAACUUCGUG